rnacentral:rRNA from 1 species
UUACAGAGUUGCAAAACUCCCUAACCAUUGUGAACGUUCCCAACCGUUGCUUCGGCGGGCGGCCGCGGGCUCACCCCCGCGCCCGGGCCCCCUCGAGGGCGCCGCCGGAGGCCCCAACUCUUGAAUUUAUGGCCUCUCUGAGUCUUCUGUACUGAAUAAGUCAAAACUUUCAACAACGGAUCUCUUGGUUCUGGCAUCGAUGAAGAACGCAGCGAAAUGCGAUAAGUAAUGUGAAUUGCAGAAUUCAGUGAAUCAUCGAAUCUUUGAACGCACAUUGCGCCCGCCAGUAUUCUGGCGGGCAUGCCUGUUCGAGCGUCAUUUCAACCAUCAAGCCCCCGGCUUGUGUUGGGGACCUGCGGCUGCCGCAGGCCCUGAAAACCAGUGGCGGGCUCGCUAGUCACCCCGAGCGUAGUAGUAUUAUCUCGCUCAGGGCGUGCUGCGGGUUCCGGCCGUUAAAAAGCCUUUUUUACCCAAGGUUGACCUCGGAUCAGGUAGGAAGACCCGCUGAACUUAA